CCUACGGGAGGCAGCAGUGGGGAAUAUUGGACAAUGGGCGAAAGCCUGAUCCAGCCAUGCCGCGUGUGUGAAGAAGGCCUUCGGGUUGUAAAGCACUUUCAGUGGGGAAGAAAGCCUUGGGGCUAAUACCCUCGAGGAAGGACAUCACCCACAGAAGAAGCACCGGCUAACUCCGUGCCAGCAGCCGCGGUAAUACGGAGGGUGCGAGCGUUAAUCGGAAUUACUGGGCGUAAAGCGCGCGUAGGCGGUCUGAUAAGCCGGUUGUGAAAGCCCCGGGCUCAACCUGGGAACGGCAUCCGGAACUGUCAGGCUAGAGUGCAGGAGAGGAAGGUAGAAUUCCCGGUGUAGCGGUGAAAGGCGUAGAGAUCGGGAGGAAUACCAGUGGCGAAGGCGGCCUUCUGGACUGACACUGACGCGGAGGUGCGAAAGCGUGGGUAGCAAACAGGAUUAGAUACCCCAGUAGUC
rnacentral:rRNA from 1 species